rnacentral:rRNA from 1 species
GAUGAACGCUGGCGGCGUGCCUAAUACAUGCAAGUCGAGCGAACAGACGAGGAGCUUGCUCCUCUGACGUUAGCGGCGGACGGGUGAGUAACACGUGGAUAACCUACCUACAAGACUGGGAUAACUUCGGGAAACCGGAGCUAAUACCGGAUAAUAUAUUGAACCGCAUGGUUCAAUAGUGAAAGACGGUUUUGCUGUCACUUAUAGAUGGAUCCGCGCCGCAUUAGCUAGUUGGUAAGGUAACGGCUUACCAAGGCAACGAUGCGUAGCCGACCUGAGAGGGUGACCGGCCACACUGGAACUGAGACACGGUCCAGACUCCUACGGGAGGAAGCAGUAGGGAAUCUUCCGCAAUGGGCGAAAGCCUGACGGAGCAACGCCGCGUGAGUGAUGAAGGUCUUCGGAUCGUAAAACUCUGUUAUUAGGGAAGAACAAAUGUGUAAGUAACUAUGCACGUCUUGACGGUACCUAAUCAGAAAGCCACGGCUAACUACGUG